AUGACCGGGAUAUAUGGCGAGCCCAGUUGGGAACAUAAGGCGCGGACCUACCAAAACUUGCGUGAUCUUCAUGCCCAGUCGGCACUGCCGUGGAUCGUCAUAGGAGAUUUUAAUGAAAUUCUUUACUCGUUGGAAAAGUACGGAGGGGCUCCCCGGAACCACUCACGCCUCAAGGCGUUUCAGGAUGCACUGUCAGACUGCUCGCUUGAGGAUGUUGGAUAUGAAGGGGAUAUAUUCACUUGGUUUCGUGGCGGAUUAUGGGAAAGACUCGACAGGGUGGUGGCCAAUGCUACAUGGUCGCAAGCCCACCCCUAUGCCGGACUAUGUAAUUUAGAGAUGGGGAAGUCUGACCACAUGCCCAUAUUGCUAGACACUGAACAUCUUGCUAGUGUGGCAGAAACUCGGUCGAGGCGUGAGAUGAAGUUUGAGGCAAGGUGGCUUGCUGAAGAAUCUGUGGAGGAAAUUGUCAAGACUGCUUGGCAAAAAGCUGUACACCUCGGCCUUUGUCCUACGGCGAGGGACAAGCUGAACUCAGUGCACCGGGACCUGCAUGCCUGGGAUCGCCGUGUCUUGAAGGCACCUCAAGCGAGGCUCCGGAAGGCGCAUAAUGAACUUGAGGGAUCGAUGCGAGAAUCAUAUACCACUGAAGCCAAAAUGAAACAGAAGGAGCUAUCGGUUCUUAUUGAAAAUUUAAUUGAGCAAGAUGAGAUAUAUUGGGCUCAGAGGGGGCGAGUUAAUUGGCUUCGACGUGGACAUAGGAAUUCAUCUUAUUUCCAACAGUUCGCUUCGGCCAGGAGGCAUCGAAAUUUGAUAAAGAAAUUAAAAAAUGACAGUCAGCUCUGGGUAGAAGGUAACAAUAAUCUCAAGCCUCUUGUUACUGAGUAUUUCGGAACCUUUUUACUUCUGGUUCGGGAGAGAUAG
rnacentral:rRNA from 1 species